UGGGGAAUAUUGCACAAUGGGCGAAAGCCUGAUGCAGCGACGCCGCGUGAGGGAUGACGGCCUUCGGGUUGUAAACCUCUCUCAGUAGGGACGAAGCGCAAGUGACGGUACCUGCAGAAGAAGCACCGGCUAACUACGUGCCAGCAGCCGCGGUAAUACGUAGGGUGCGAGCGUUAUCCGUAAUUACUGGGCGUAAAGAGCUCGUAGGCGGUUUGUCACGUCGUCUGUGAAAUCCUAGGGCUUAACCCUGGACGUGCAGGCGAUACGGGCUGACUUGAGUACUACAGAGGAGACUGGAAUUUCUGGUGUAGCGGUGGAAUGCACAGAUAUCAGGAAGAACACCGAUGGCGAAGGCAGGGCUCUGGGUAGUAACUGACGCUGAGGAGCGAAAGCAUGGGUAGCGAACAGG
rnacentral:rRNA from 1 species